UACGUAGGGGGCAAGCGUUGUCCGGAAUUAUUGGGCGUAAAGAGCGUGUAGGCGGUCCGAUAAGUCGGCUGUGAAAGUCGGGGGCUCAACCCUCGAAUGCCGGUGGAUACUGUCGGGCUAGAGUGCGGAAGAGGCGAGUGGAAUUCCUGGUGUAGCGGUGAAAUGCGCAGAUAUCAGGAGGAACACCAAUUGCGAAGGCAGCUCGCUGGGACGUAACUGACGCUGAGACGCGAAAGCGUGGGGAGCAAACAGG
rnacentral:rRNA from 1 species